rnacentral:rRNA from 1 species
CCUACGGGAGGCAGCAGUGGGGAAUAUUGCACAGUGGGCGCAAGCCUGAUGCAGCCAUGCCGCGUGUGUGAAGAAGGCCUUCGGGUUGUAAAGCACUUUCAGCGGGGAGGAAGGCGGUGAGGUUAAUAACCUCAUCGAUUGACGUUACCCGCAGAAGAAGCACCGGCUAACUCCGUGCCAGCAGCCGCGGUAAUACGGAGGGUGCAAGCGUUAAUCGGAAUUACUGGGCGUAAAGCGCACGCAGGCGGUCUGUCAAGUCGGAUGUGAAAUCCCCGGGCUCAACCUGGGAACUGCAUUCGAAACUGGCAGGCUAGAGUCUUGUAGAGGGGGGUAGAAUUCCAGGUGUAGCGGUGAAAUGCGUAGAGAUCUGGAGGAAUACCGGUGGCGAAGGCGGCCCCCUGGACAAAGACUGACGCUCAGGUGCGAAAGCGUGGGGAGCAAACAGGAUUAGAUACCCGUGUAGUC